UUGAAAAUUCUCGUUUUUACUUUUUAUUGGGCAUAAGUUAAAAAUCUUACUCUCUAUUUAUUAUGCUUUAACAAGAGAAAGAAAGAAAACAGAAAACAAAUCUCUUCUAUAGCAGACUUAACAAAAAUUUCAGCUGAGACUUAAACCGACUUUUUCAAGGAAAUGAAAUUAGGAGAACAAAAACACUUUGAAGUGGACUGCAUAUAUAUACUCAAAAAUAACAUACAACUUGAGUCAGUAAUGGUAAAGAAAACGAACGUACACAGACGGGUUUGGAUUUAGAUGAUGAAGAAUGCACUGAAAGCUUUGCAUUUGAGUUCUCUUUUUCGGGUGAGUAAGUUAGGGAACUGCAAGGCCGAUCAAUUUGAAAAAAGAAAAAAGAAAAAAACUAAAAUGUAAACGCAGCUUGAACUUGAUUUCUUUUGGUUUUUGGGGAGGGGACGGGGGGAGGGGAGGGAAUGUAUACGCAGCUUCAAACUUGGUUUCUUUUCGUUUUUUUCCCCGGGGGUGUGGAGGCCUGGAGGGAAUGUAAACGAACUAACGAAGCCUCAAUCCUCAUGCAGCUGUAUUUAUAUGAAGUGGGUACUGCUGACUGAUCCACGAAGGAAGACUUUUGAUGUCAUUGGUGUUUCUUUAUUUUUGACCUUUUAGCUAGAUGACAGAAGAAUGCCGAGUGCUACGGACACUCGCGAGUGUCUCAAUCGCGGCUCUCUAUAUAGACACGUGUCUAUCAAAAUGAAACCUUAUCAGAGAGACAGCCGCAAGUAUGACGAGACAAGCGCGAUCGUAAGGAUGGAAGCCGCAAGUAUGAAGAGACAGGCCCAAUCCACAACGAUCCAAGAGCAAUCAUUACCUGCAAACUCAACACAACACCUAAUUAACUUCAAACCCCACCAUAAAUCCACCAACAGUCACUAUUCGAAACAAAUCUACCUCAAAUGCGACGUCAAAUAAAAGGAAUAAAAAGGUUUCCUUAAAAGAGAGAGAGCUGCGAGUAUGAAGAGACAAGCACGGUCCACAACGAUCGAAGGCUGUGUGGUAUGUGUCUUGUAUAGAUUGAACAGAGCAAUCAUUACCUGCAAAACUGAACCAAACACUCAAUUAACAAACAAAUUUCAAUUUGAAACCCGACCUUAAAUCCACCAUUGGGCACUAUUCGACACAAAUCUACUUGAAAUCCGACAACAAAUAAAAGGAAAAAAAAUUCUAAAUCAACAUCGAAAUGAAACCUUUAUAAGAGAGAAAGCCGCAAGUACGAAGAGAUCUGAAGUCCUGUUGGUAUAUGUCUUGUAUAGAUUGACAGAGCAAUCAAAGGCCGUGUCGACCAGAGCAAUCGCAGAAUAGAAGAGAUAAGAGAGGAAAAAAGAAGGAAGAGGAGAGCUGCAGCAGCAAAUGAUCAGAGCAAUCAUUACCUGCAAAACUCAACACAACACCAAAUUAACAACCAACAUUUCAAUUUCAAACUUAACCUUAAAUUGAAACAAAUCUACUUGAAAAUAAAAGAAUAAGCAACUCCGAAUCAAAAUCGAAAUGAAACCUUUUAUAACAGAGACAGCCGCGAGUAUGAAGAGACAGGCACAAUCUGCAGCGAUCGAAGAGAAAUCACCACUACCUGCAAAACUCAACACAACGCCUGAUUAACAACAAACAUGCCAAUUUCAAACCCACCUUAAAUCCACCAACAGACACUAUAACUUGAAAUGCAAUAUCAAAUAAAAGGAACAAGUAGUCUAAAUCAAAAUCAAAACGAAACCUUAUAAAAGAGACAGCCGCAAGUCUGAAGAGACCAGCACGAUCCUAAAGGAUCAAAGCCGCAAGUAUGAACAGACCUGAUUAACAACAAACACCUGAUUACCUGCAAAACUCAACACAACACCUGAUUAUCAACAAACAUUUCAAUUUCAAACCCAAAACAAAUCUACUUGAAAAAAAAAAAAAAACAACUCCAAAUCAAAAUCGAAAUGAAACCUUAUUAGAAAGACAGCCGCAAGUAUGACGAGACAAGCACGAUCGUAAAGGAUGGGAGCCGCAAGUAUGAAGAGACAGGCCCAAUCCACAACGAUCCAAGAGCAAUCAUUACCUGCAAACUCAACACAACACCUAAUUAACUUCAAACCCCACCAUAAAUCCACCAACAGUCACUAUUUGAAACAAAUCUACCUCAAAUGCGACAUCAAAUAAAAGGAAUAAAAAGGUUUCCUUAAAAAAGAGUCCACAACGAUCGAAGGCUGUGUUGUAUGUGUCUUGUAUAGAUUGAACAGAGCAAUCAUUACCUGCAAAACUGAACCAAACACUCAAUUAACAAACAAAUUUCAAUUUGAAACCCGACCUUAAAUCCACCAUCGGGAACUAUUCGACACAAAUCUACUUGAAAUCCGACAACAAAUAAAAGGAAAAACAAGUCUAAAUCAACAUCGAAAUGAAACCUUUGUAAGAGAGAAAGCCGCAAGUAUGAAGAGAUCUGAAGUCCUGUUGGUAUAUGUCUUGUAUAGAUUGACAGAGCAAUCAAAGGCCGUGUCGACCAGAGCAAUCGAAGAGUAGAAGAGAUAAGAGAGGAAAAAAGAAGAAGAGGAGAGCUUCAGCAGCAAAUGAUCAGAGCAAUCAUUACCUGCAAAACUCAACACAACACCAAAUUAACAACCAACAUUUCAAUUUCAAACCCAACCUUAAAUUGAAACAAAUCUACUUGAAAAAUAAAGGAAAAAGCAACUCCAAAUCAAAAUCGAAAUGAAACCUUUUAAAACAGAGACAGCCGCGAGUAUGAAGAGACAGGCACAAUCCGCAGCGAUCGAAGAGAAAUCAUCACUACCUGCAAAACUCAACACAACGCCUGAUUAACAACAAACAUGCCAAUUUCAAACCCAACCUUAAAUCCACCAACAGACAGACACUAUAACUUGAAAUGCAAUAUCAAAUAAAAGGAAAAACAAGUCUAAGUCAACAUCGAAAUGAAACCUUUAUAAGAUAGAAAGCCGCAAGUACGAAGAGAGAAGCGCGAUCCUAAAAGAUCUGAAGUCGUGUUGUAUAUAUGUCUUGUAUAGAUUGACAGAGCAAUCAAAGCCCGUGUCGACCAGAGCGAUCGAAGAGGAGAAGAGAGAAGAGAGAAAAAGAGAAGAGGAGGAGAACUGCAGCAGCAAAUGAGCAAAGGGAGCUCA
rnacentral:lncRNA from 1 species